AAUCAACGCUGGCGGCGUGCCUAACACAUGCAAGUCGAACGCGAAAGUCCCGCAAGGGAUUAGUAGAGUGGCAAACGGGUGAGUAACACGUGGGUGACCUGCCUCCGAGUGGGGGAUAACGUCCCGAAAGGGACGCUAAUACCGCAUAACAUCCCGCCUUUUAACAGGUGGAGAUCAAAGCUGGGGAUCGCAAGACCUAGCGCUUGAAGAGGGGCCCCGCGCCUGAUUAGCUAGUUGGUGGGGUAAUGGCUCACCAAGGCAACGAUCCAGUAUCCGGCCUGAGAGGGCGGACGGACACACUGGGACUGAGACACGGGCCCAGACUCCUACGGGAGGCAGCAGUGGGGAAUUGUCACAAUGGGC
rnacentral:rRNA from 1 species